UGGGGAAUAUUGAACAAUGGGCGCAAGUCUGAUGCAGCCAUGCCGCGUGUAUGAAGAAGGCCUUCGGGUUGUAAAGUACUUUCAGCGGGGAGGAAGGGAGUAAAGUUAAUACCUUUGCUCAUUGACGUUACCCGCAGAAGAAGCACCGGCUAACUCCGUGCCAGCAGCCGCGGUAAUACGGAGGGUGCAAGCGUUAAUCGGAAUUACUGGGCGUAAAGCGCACGCAGGCGGUUUGUUAAGUCAGAUGUGAAAUCCUCGGGCUCAACCUGGGAACUGCAUCUGAUACUGGCAAGCUAGAGUCACGUAGAGGGGGGUAGAAUUCCAGGUGUAGCAGUGAAAUGCGUAGAGAUCUGGAGGAAUACCGGUGGCGAAGGCGGCCCCCUGGACGAAGACUGACGCUCAGGUGCGAAAGCGUGGGGAGCAAACAGG
rnacentral:rRNA from 1 species